CGAAAAUAAUUUUAUGGUUGGGGGUCACCACAAUAUGAGGAACUGUAUUAAAGGGUCAUGGCAUUAGGAAGGUUGAGAACCACUGCUCUAGAUCAAGACCACUUCAAGGGUGGGUAUUUUAGAGUCGCAGCAAAAAUACAUAUAAAGUUUUCAGACUUUUGUUGAUUAAUCAAAAUGAUAUUAUAGUUGCACCAACAUGAUGUCAUCAUUAUACAACAAUGGAUGAUGUCACUGAUAUUAUUGUUGUAUAAUAAUAAUAUGAUGGAACAGUGAGUGGUGCCAACAUUUUUAUCAAUAUAUUGAUGUCACUCUGACAUUGUUAUUGUCCCGAAACAAAUUCUGGAAUAAUGUCUGGUACUAUUAGC
rnacentral:lncRNA from 1 species